UAAUACGUAGGGUGCAAGCGUUGUCCGGAAUUAUUGGGCGUAAAGAGCUCGUAGGCGGUUUGUCGCGUCUGCUGUGAAAACCCGAGGCUCAACCUCGGGCUUGCAGUGGGUACGGGCAGACUAGAGUGCGGUAGGGGAGAUUGGAAUUCCUGGUGUAGCGGUGGAAUGCGCAGAUAUCAGGAGGAACACCGAUGGCGAAGGCAGAUCUCUGGGCCGUAACUGACGCUGAGGAGCGAAAGCAUGGGGAGCAAACAGGCUUAGAUACCCUGGUAGUCCAUGCCGUAAACGUUGGGAACUAGAUGUGGGGACCAUUCCACGGUCUCCGUGUCGUAGCUAACGCAUUAAGUUCCCCGCCUGGGGAGUACGGCCGCAAGGCUAAAACUCAAAGGAAUUGACGGGGGCCCGCACAAGCGGCGGAGCAUGCGGAUUAAUUCGAUGCAACGCGAAGAACCUUACCAAGGCUUGACAUAUACCGGAAACGUCCAGAGAUGGUCGCCCCGCAAGGUCGGUAUACAGGUGGUGCAUGGUUGUCGUCAGCUCGUGUCGUGAGAUGUUGGGUUAAGUCCCGCAACGAGCGCAACCCUCGUCCUAUGUUGCCAGCACGUAAUGGUGGGAACUCAUGGGAUACUGCCGGGGUCAACUCGGAGGAAGGUGGGGAUGAGGUCAAAUCAUCAUGCCCCUUAUGUCUUGGGCUUCACGCAUGCUACAAUGGCCGGUACAAUGGGCUGCGAUACCGUAAGGUGGAGCGAAUCCCAAAAAGCCGGUCUCAGUUCGGAUUGAGGUCUGCAACUCGACCUCAUGAAGUCGGAGUCGCUAGUAAUCGCAGAUCAGCAACGCUGCGGUGAAUACGUUCCCGGGCCUUGUACACACCGCCCGUCAAGUCAUGAAAGUCGGUAACACCCGAAGCC
rnacentral:rRNA from 1 species